CAGCAGCCGCGCGGGAAUACGAGGGGGGCAAGCGUUGUUCGGAAUUAUUGGGCGUAAAGGGUGCGUAGGCGGCUUGACAAGUCUUGUGUGAAAUCUAUGGGCUCAACCCAUAGUCUGCACGGGAAACUGUCGGGCUUGAGAAUGGGAGAGGUGAGUGGAAUUUCCGGUGUAGCGGUGAAAUGCGUAGAUAUCGGAAGGAACACCUGUGGCGAAAGCGGCUCACUGGACCAUUUCUGACGCUGAUGCACGAAAGCUAGGGGAGCAAACAGGAUUAGAUACCCCAGUAGUCCCUGUCUCUUAUACA
rnacentral:rRNA from 1 species